CAGCCCUAAACGAUGCGCGUUAGGUGUAUCGGUGACCACGAGUCACCGAGGUGCCGAAGGGAAACCGUGAAACGCACCACCUGGGAAGUACGGUCGCAAGGCUGAAACUUAAAGGAAUUGGCGGGGGAGCACCACAACAGGUGGAGCCUGCGGUUUAAUUGGAUUCAACGCCGGACAUCUCACCGGAUAAGACAGCUGAAUGAUUGUCAAUCUGAAGGUUUUACAUGACUAGCUGAGAGGUGGUGCAUGGCGUCAGUGACU
rnacentral:rRNA from 1 species